rnacentral:rRNA from 1 species
AUUGAACGCUGGCGGCGUGCCUAACACAUGCAAGUCGAGCGAGCGGCGGACGGGUGAGUAAUGUCUGGGAAACUGCCUGAUGGAGGGGGAUAACUACUGGAAACGGUGGCUAAUACCGCAUACCAUCAGAUGUGCCCAGAUGGGACUAGCUAGUUGGUCGGGUAACGGCUCACCUAGGCGACGAUCCCUAGCUGGUCUGAGAGGAUGACCAGCCACACGGGAACUGAGACACGGGCCAGACUCCUACGGGAGGCAGCAGUGGGGAAUAUUGCACAAUGGGCGCAAGCCUGAGACAGCCAUGCCGCGUGUGUGAAGAAGGCCUUCGGGUUGUAAAGCACUUUCAGCGGGGAGGCGUUACCCGCAGAAGAAGCACCGGCUAACUCCGUGCCAGCAGCCGCGGUAAUAC